ACGGGAGGCAGCAGUGGGGGAUAUUGCACAAUGGGGGGAACCCUGAUGCAGCGACGCCGCGUGAGUGAAGAAGUAUUUCGGUAUGUAAAGCUCUUUAAGCUGGAAAGACAAUGACGGUACCAGCAGAAUAAGCCCCGGCUAACUACGUGCCAGCAGCCGCGGUAAUACGUAGGGGGCAAGCGUUAUCCGGAUUUACUGGGUGUAAAGGGAGCGCAGACGGCAUGGCAAGCCAGAUGUGAAAUGCGGGGGCUCAACUCCUGAACUGCAUUUGGAACUGUCAAGCUAGAGUAUCGGAGAGGUAAGUGGAAUUCCUAGUGUAGCGGUGAAAUGCGUAGAUAUUAGGAGGAACACCAGUGGCGAAGGCGGCUUACUGGACGAUAACUGACGUUGAGGCUCGAAAGCGUGGGGAGCAAACAGGAUUAGAUACCCUGGUA
rnacentral:rRNA from 1 species